rnacentral:rRNA from 1 species
GACGAACGCUGGCGGCGUGCUUAACACAUGCAAGUCGAGCGGUAAGGCCCUUUCGGGGGUACGACGAGCGGCGAACGGGUGAGUAACACGUGGGUGACCUGCCCUCAGCUCUGGGAUAAGCCUGGGAAACCGGGUCUAAUACUGGAUAUGACUCCAUGACGCAUGUUGUGGGGUGGAAAGCCUUGUGCGGCUGAGGAUGGGCCCGCGGCCUAUCGGC